rnacentral:rRNA from 1 species
UCGGCAGAGAUGCCUUAGUGCCUUCGGGAACCGUGAGACAGGUGCUGCAUGGCUGUCGUCAGCUCGUGUUGUGAAAUGUUGGGUUAAGUCCCGCAACGAGCGCAACCCUUAUCCUUUGUUGCCAGCGAGUAAUGUCGGGAACUCAAAGGAGACUGCCGGUGAUAAACCGGAGGAAGGUGGGGAUGACGUCAAGUCAUCAUGGCCCUUACGGCCAGGGCUACACACGUGCUACAAUGGCGCAUACAAAGAGAAGCGAACUCGCGAGAGCAAGCGGACCUCAUAAAGUGCGUCGUAGUCCGGAUCGGAGUCUGCAACUCGACUCCGUGAAGUCGGAAUCGCUAGUAAUCGUAGAUCAGAAUGCUACGGUGAAUACGUUCCCGGGCCUUGUACACACCGCCCGUCACACCAUGGGAGUGGGUUGCAAAAGAAGUAGGUAGCUUAACCUUCGGGAGGGCGCUUACCACUUUGUGAUUCAUGACUGGGGUGAAGUCGUAACAAGGUAACCGUAGGGGAACCUGCGGUUGGAUCACCUCCUUA